GCACAGAGCAGCAAAUCUCAGCUGGCUGGGGCUGGUUGCACUCUCAGGAUCACACAAACACCACCAGGACGCUCUGUGCUUGUCCUGUGCUCUGGCAGCUGAUUGAUUUCUCAUCGUGUAUUAGUUGUUCUGGCAUUGAAGUCCUGCUAGCUCACUGAGUGCCUGGAUCACGCUGGCUUUCCUCUCCUGGUUACUGCACAGCCUCCCAAGAAACGGGAUUGUCUGUCCUGCAGAGGUUAGUUAGUUAUUCCUGCAGAGGUUAGUUAGUUAUUCCUGCAGAAGUUAGUUAGUUAUUCCUGCAGAGGUUAGUUAGUUAUUCCUGCAGAGGUUAGUUAGUUAUUCCUGCAGAGGUUAGUUGGUUAUUCCUGCAGAGGUUAGUUAGUUAUUCCUGCAGAGGUUAGUUAGUUAUUCCUGCAGAAGUUAGUUAGUUAUUCCUGCAGAAGUUAGUUAGUUAU